rfam:Niastella vici strain DJ57 contig1, whole genome shotgun sequence.
UGGCUUAUAGUUUAAUGGAAGAACACUGCGCUACGAACGCAGAAAUGAAAGUUCGACUCUUUCUAAGCCAU